rnacentral:lncRNA from 1 species
CUCUGACCUCUCUGACCCCUUGGCUAGUAGGAAACUUUAAUUUCAAAUGGUAGGUCGAUACCACAGCUCGGAGGGCAUUGAGGCCAGGUCAGCCGAGUAUUGCGUUGUAGGCAAACGAUGCCCUUACUACCAGAAAAUCCACUUACACUCUAGAUUGUUUCGGAUACCAACCUGCGACUAUGGUUAAAGUUAUCACUCCUUCCACUGGCACAGCAUUGCCAGUGAACCCUACC